rnacentral:lncRNA from 1 species
UAGUGGAUGUAGGCUCUUCUUAAUUAUCAUGUUCUUCAUGUUAAUCAAGAAGAAAAUCAAGUUAGUGACCAGGCAGCUAAUUUUGCUCUAAUAAGUAGCUUCUAUAUUACUGACUUUCAGAACAUCUGCUAGUGUGGUUUAUGAAUGUCAUCUCAAUUAUUCUUUUAUUCUCUAGGUUUCCAAAUGUUAUGUUCAAUUUUAGUCUAGCUUGUCUAUCCUUUAAUAGAUGAUAUAGAGACAUAUGCUCUUAUUAACAUCACCUGA